rnacentral:rRNA from 1 species
AUUGAACGCUGGCGGCAUGCCUUACACAUGCAAGUCGAACGGUAACAGGCCGCAAGGUGCUGACGAGUGGCGAACGGGUGAGUAAUGCAUCGGAACGUGCCCAGUCGUGGGGGAUAACUGCUCGAAAGAGCAGCUAAUACCGCAUACGACCUGAGGGUGAAAGCGGGGGACCGUAAGGCCUCGCGCGGUUGGAGCGGCCGAUGUCAGAUUAGGUAGUUGGUGGGGUAAAGGCUCACCAAGCCAACGAUCUGUAGCUGGUCUGAGAGGACGACCAGCCACACUGGGACUGAGACACGGCCCAGACUCCUACGGGAGGCAGCAGUGGGGAAUUUUGGACAAUGGGGGCAACCCUGAUCCAGCAAUGCCGCGUGCAGGAAGAAGGCCUUCGGGUUGUAAACUGCUUUUGUACGGAACGAAACGGUCUGGGUUAAUACCCUGGGCUAAUGACGGUACCGUAAGAAUAAGCACCGGCUAACUACGUGCCAGCCGCCGCUGUAAAAC